AUUUGAUGAGAGACCAUCCCGAGAAGAUAUGAUAUUGACUGUUGAUAUCAGCGAUUAUAUAUCAUCGCAUGAGGUUUUCUCGAUGGCACCUCAUACGAUGGUUCAGGAUGUCGGCGACGAUGGAUCACUUCACAUGCGGUCUUCUCCGUCGACACCUUCUGUGAUUAUUCCGCGGCCUGACGUUUCUGUGGCUGCGCCGAUUACGGAUCCCAUUAUGACGUCUAUUUCGACGUUAGAGG